rnacentral:sRNA from 1 species
AAAAUCAUAUGUUUUAUGGUAUCUAAUUAAAUUGUUUUUCUAUAAUAUAUAGUUUCUAGUGAAAUUUUCUCUCCCUCUCCCUCUCUAUGUAAAGUAUCUAAUUGAAUUUUUCCUUUACUCGUAGAUAUUUAGUACUAUAUGAAAUUGAUACUUAACUUAAUGUUUUUGUUCAUCAUUUUUUGAUAUAAGAACUCGUCUCCCGCACUAAAUUCUGGAAUAAUGGGUGCUCAAGCGGUGUCUCUAAAGGUUGUAGGAGACAAAGCCGCGUUCUAUGGAUGUGGGUUAUAUGGAAAACAAGACACACUUUUGGACCAAGAAAUAUGACUUUCUUCAAAAAGAGUUUUUUCAAAUCAUCGAUUACUUCAUAUCUGGUAAUUGGAGAUCGUUUUGCAAGGUUAAAAAAAAGGGUAUUAUCAAUAUGUAUACAUAGAAAAUUACAAAAUUAAGUGUCAGAAAAAGCUACUGUUGAGCCUUCUCUCUCCAUCAUGAAAAUACCUUUAUACCUCUAUAUCUUAUUUGCUUUUGACAUUAAAUAUUUUGUUACCUUUUAAUAAUAAUGUUAUCAUCUUCUCAUAAUUAUACAAUCUUUGAAAUCAAAUCGUUGGUUCAAUAGCUGGUAAUUUGUUUAUAUCGUCAACUGUAUUAUUAACAUGUUAAGUAGGUUUGUAUCUUAAGUUUUUUCAUCCAUAUAUCAAAACCCCAUCCAUAUUUCGCUAGCAAUAUUAUCCUGAUAAUACAUUAUCUGCUAACUAUUCUGAUGCAUGUAUUUUUUUUACAUGAUUAUUCAGUCGUAAGUUAUUUUGUUUUUGCUCUUCAUGCUAAAUAUUUUGUUACCUUUUAAUAGUAAUGUUAUCGUCUUCGCAUACAUAUGUGUCUUUGAAAUCUAAACAUUGGUUCAAUAACUGAAAAUUUGUUUAUAUCGUCAAAUAUAUUAUUAACAUAUUAAGUUGGUUUGUAUUCCAUGUCAUUUCAUCCAUGCAUCAAACCCCAUCCAUAUUUCGCUAACAAUAUUAUCUCGAUAAUUUGUUAUCUGCUAACUAUCCUGAUUUUUAUCAUAUCUCUUUGUAGGGAUAUAUUUGUCAUAUAAAUUUUAGUUGAAAAAAUUACCUAAAUAAAUGAUCUUCAUGUAUAGAUUUUUAAUUAUUUGAUGGUGCAUAUAUAGAUUUUUAACUCACCCUAAAAAAAAAAUUGUCGUUAUUAAUGUUUUGCAUAUAGACUUCUUACAUGUAAAUAAACAAAUCCAAACCAUUGCAAGAUUGCACAAUUUAUUAUGUAGCAAAGAAAUAUAUAAUCAGACGUAUUACAACAAAUACAAAGGAAGUAUUAAUAGAGUGAAAACUAUUUGGUUUUGUGAAUUGCAAGAUAAAUAAAACUAUUUGUUUUUGCGAAUUACAAGAUAUAUGAAAGCGCAAGAGUGUAGCUCGGACGUGCAUGGAAACUUUAUACAAGUGUUAUCUUUUCUAAAACAUACAUGUCUAGAGUUAUUUUUAGAUGUUUUUAAGCAAAUGUUAAGCAUCUUUUGUGCAAAUUUCUUAGAAAAUCUAUGAAUACUUAAACCAUGUUAAUAAUUGAUAAUGCAAAAUAACUUACAAAUAUAUUUAAUUCAGAAAUAUAAGAAGAAAUGUGGCUUAUCAAAAAUGAAAGAACUUUAUGAUUAAAAUACAAAGAGAAUUUGUAUGGUUUUAAGCUUUCACACAAAAUUGAUUAGAUGUUUAUGAAAUCUUAAUUUUCAUAGCACUUAGGUUACUAAAAUAUAUUCUUAUUGUGUUAAUUAGAAUUUAUUUUGAAGGCUCUUUAUUAUAGAAAAUAUGAAUGAAAUUUACCUAAUUAUAGGAAAGUUCUUUCACCAAAAUUUGCAUUAUAUGCAAAAAUGAACUUCACCACAUAGCAACUUAAUGAAAUGAUUAUGACUAGUUUUAAUAGGAAUAUUGGUGUUUAUGUAGCAAACACACAAUUAUUCUCAUCUUUUUAUUAUUUGUU